rnacentral:rRNA from 1 species
AGUGAACGCUGGCGGCAUGCCUAACACAUGCAAGUCGAACGACAGCACAGUAAGAGCUUGCUCUUGCGGGUGGCGAGUGGCGGACGGGUGAGGAAUACAUAGGAUACCUCUUUUACGUGGGUGAUAACGUGGGGCAAUUUCUGCUAACACAGCAUAUGUCGUACGGGUGAGUGCAGGGGUUCUUCGCACUUUGUGUGAUUGUAUGAGCCGAUGACGGAUUAGCUAGGUGGCGGGGUAAAGGCCCACCAAGGCGACGAUGCGUAGCUGAUCUGAGAGGAUGAGCGGCCACACUGGAACUGAGACACGGUCCAGACUCCUACGGGAGGCAGCAGUAGGGAAUAUUCGGCAAUGGGCGCAAGCCUGAUCGAGCCAUACCGCGUGAGUGAAGAAGGCCUUCGGGUUGUAAAACUCUUUUAUUAGGGAAGAAAAUAAGGAUAUUUAACCCGGGCUGUUCUGACGGUACCCAAGGAAAAAGCACCGGCUAACUUCGUG